rnacentral:rRNA from 1 species
AACAGGAUUAGAUACCCUGGUAGUCCACGCCGUAAACGAUGCUAACUCGUUUUUGGGUUUUCGGAUUCAGAGACUAAGCGAAAGUGAUAAGUUAGCCACCUGGGGAGUACGUUCGCAAGAAUGAAACUCAAAGGAAUUGACGGGGGCCCGCACAAGCGGUGGAUUAUGUGGUUUAAUUCGAUGAUACGCGAGGAACCUUACCAAGGCUUAAAUGGGAAUUGACAGGUUUAGAAAUAGACUUUUCUUCGGACAAUUUUCAAGGUGCUGCAUGGUUGUCGUCAGCUCGUGCCGUGAGGUGUUAGGUUAAGUCCUGCAACGAGCGCAACCCCUGUCACUAGUUGCCAUCAUUCAGUUGGGGACUCUAGUGAGACAGCCUACGCAAGUAGAGAGGAAGGUGGGGAUGACGUCAAAUCAUCACGGCCCUUACGCCUUGGGCCACACACGUAAUACAAUGGCCGGUACAGAGGGCAGCUACACAGCGAUGUGAUGCGAAUCUCGAAAGCCGGUCUCAGUUCGGAUUGGAGUCUGCAACUCGACUCUAUGAAGCUGGAAUCGCUAGUAAUCGCGCAUCAGCCAUGGCGCGGUGAAUACGUUCCCGGGCCUUGUACACACCGCCCGUCAAGCCAUGGAAGUCUGGGGUACCUGAAGUCGGUGACCGUAACAGGAGCUGCCUAGGGUAAAACAGGUAACUAGGGCUAAGUCGUAACAAGGUAACC